GGAUCCAGACUUUGAUUAUGGCUCAGGAUGAACGCUGGCGGCGCAUUUAAGACAUGCAAGUCGAACAAAAAUUUACGCUUAAAGAGUUGAUUAGUUUACUAAGAGAUGAUUUAUUGUAAAUUUUAGUGGCGGACUGGUGAGUAAUACAUAGGUAAUCUGCCUUUUAGAGGGGAAUAACUAGGAGAAAUCCUAGCUAAUACCGCGUAAGACCACACUUAGGCAUCUAAGAGAGGUCAAAGGAGUAAUCCGCUAAAAGAUGAGCCUGUGGCUGAUUAGUUAGUUGGUGGGGUAAGAGCCUACCAAGACGAUGAUCAGUAGCCGAGCUGAGAGGCUGGCCGGCCACAUUGGGACUGAGAUACGGCCCAGACUCCUACGGGAGGCAGCAGUUGGGAAUAUUGGACAAUGGAGGAAACUCUGAUCCAGUGACGCCGCGUGAAGGAAGAAGGUCUUCGGAUUGUAAACUUAUUUUAUCAGGGAAGAAGAAAGUGACAGUACCUGAAGAAAAAGGACCGGCAAACUACGUGCCAGCAGCCGCGGUAAUACGUAGGGUCCAAGCGUUAUCCGGAUUUACUGGGUGUAAAGGGCGAGUAGACGGCGCUGUAAGUCAGCUGUGAAAACUUAGGGCUCAACCUUAAGCCUGCAGCUGAAACUGUAGUGCUAGAGUGCAGGAGAGGUAAGCGGAAUUCCUAGUGUAGCGGUGAAAUGCGUAGAUAUUAGGAGGAACACCAGUGGCGAAGGCGGCUUACUGGACUGUAACUGACGUUGAGGCGCGAAAGUGUGGGGAGCAAACAGGAUUAGAUACCCUGGUAGUCCACACCGUAAACGAUGGAUACUAGGUGUAGGCGAGAUAUCGUCUGUGCCGGCGCAAACGCAAUAAGUAUCCCACCUGGGGAGUACGGCCGCAAGGUUGCAACUCAAAUGAAUUGACGG
rnacentral:rRNA from 1 species